CGGACGGGUGAGUAAUGCAUAGGAAUCUGCCCGGUAGUGGGGGAUAACCUGGGGAAACCCAGGCUAAUACCGCAUACGUCCUACGGGAGAAAGCAGGGGCUCUUCGGACCUUGCGCUAUCGGAUGAGCCUAUGCCGGAUUAUGUGUUUGUUGAGGUAAUGGCUCACCAAGCCGACGAUCCGUAGCUGGUUUGAGAGGAUGAUCGGACACGUCGGGACUGAGACACGGACCGAACUCAUACGGGAGGCAGCAGUGGGGAAUAUUGGACAAUGGGCGCAAGCGUGAUCCAGCCAUGCCGCGUGUGUGAAGAAGGCCUUCGGGUUGUAAAGCACUUUCAGUGGGGAAGAAAGCCUGCCGGCGAAUACCCGGGAGGAAGGACAUCACCCACAGAAGAAGCACCGGCUAACUCCGUGCCAGCAGCCGCGGUAAUACGGAGGGUGCGAGCGUUAAUCGGAAUUUCUGGGCGUAAAGCGCGCGUAGGUGGCUUGAUAAGCCGGUUGUGAAAGCCCUGGGCUCAACCUGGGAACGGCAUCCGGAACUGUCAGGCUAGAGUGCAGGAGAGGAAGGUAGAAUUCCCGGUGUAGCUCUGAAAUGCGUAGAGAUCGGGAGGAAUACCAGUGGCGAAGGCGGCCUUCUGGACUGACACUGACACUGAGGUGCGAAAGCGUGGGUAGCAAACAGGAUUAGAUACCCUGGUAGUCCACGCCGUAAACGAUGUCGACUAGCCGUUGGG
rnacentral:rRNA from 1 species